GAUGAAGAACGUAGCGAAAUGCGAUAACUAGUGUGAAUUGCAGAUUUCAGUGAAUCAUCGAGUCUUUGAACGCACAUUGCGCCCCCUGGUAUUCCGGGGGGCAUGCCUGUCCAAGCGUCAUUACAACCCUCAAGCUCAGCUUGGUGUUGGGCCCCGCCGCCCCGGCGGGCCCUAAAGUCAGUGGCGGUGCCGUCCGGCUCCGAGCGUAGUAAUUCUUCUCGCUCUGGAGGUCCGGUCGUGUGCUCGCCAGCAACCCCCAAUUUUUUUCAGGUUGACCUCGGAUCAGGUAGGGAUACCCGCUGAACUUAAGCAUAUCAAUAAGCGGAGGA
rnacentral:misc_RNA from 1 species